rnacentral:rRNA from 1 species
AGAGUUUGAUCCUGGCUCAGGAUGAACGCUGGCGGCGUGCCUAAGACAUGCAAGUCGAGUGGGUUUAGACCCACGGCGAACGGGUGAGUAAUACCUAGGAACUUUCUUUAAGUGGAGGAUAACCAGCCGAAAGGUUGGAUAAUACUUCAUGUGGCAGCAAUGCUAAAGUCGUAAGACGCUAAAGAAGCGGCCUGGGCACCAUCAGCUAGUUGGUAAGGUAAAGGCUUACCAAGGCUAUGACGGUUAGGGGCCCCGAGAGGGGGAAACCUCCACACUGGAACUGCGACACGGUCCAGACUCCUACGGGAGGCAGCAGUUUGGAAUUUUGGACAAUGGGCGAAAGCCUGAUCCAGCGACGCCGCGUGGACGAUGAAGGCCUUCGGGUUGUAAAGUCCUUUUGUUAGGGAAGAAUUUUUGACUGUACCUAGCGAAUAAGAGGUUGCUAACUCUGUG